UACGGAAGGUCCGGGCGUUAUCCGGAUUUAUUGGGUUUAAAGGGAGCGUAGGCCGGCUUUUAAGUCAGCUGUGAAAGUCUGUGGCUCAACCAUAGAAUUGCCGUUGAAACUGGGGGGCUUGAGUAUGUUUGAGGCAGGCGGAAUGCGUGGUGUAGCGGUGAAAUGCAUAGAUAUCGCGCAGAACUCCGAUUGCGAAGGCAGCAUGCCGGCUCCACACUGACGCUGAGGCACGAAAGCGUGGGUAUCGAACAGG
rnacentral:rRNA from 1 species